rnacentral:piRNA from 1 species
UGGCCAUGCAUUUCUGUGUUAUCUGUUU